rnacentral:ncRNA from 1 species
GUGUUGUGUGAAAGGAGAGAAGGUUAGCACUCCCCUUGACAAGGAUGGAAGAGGCCUUUGGGCCUGACAACAUGCAUACGGUUAAGGCAUUGCCACCUAUUUCGUGGCAUCUAACCACUGUUUUUG